rnacentral:rRNA from 1 species
CUACGGGAGGCAGCAGUGAGGAAUAUUGGGCAAUGGGGGAAACCCUGACCCAGCAACGCCGCGUGGGGGAUGAAGGCUCUCGGGUUGUAAACCCCUUUCAGCAGGGACGAAUUUUGACGGUACCUGCAGAAGAAGCCCCGGCUAACUACGUGCCAGCAGCCGCGGUAACACGUAGGGGGCAAGCGUUGUCCGGAUUUAUUGGGCGUAAAGAGCUCGUAGGCGGCUCAGUAAGUCGGGUGUCAAAUCCUCAGGCUCAACCUGGGGCUGCACUCGAUACUGCUGUGGCUAGAGUCCGGUAGGGGAGCAUGGAAUUCCUGGUGUAGCGGUGAAAUGCGCAGAUAUCAGGAGGAACACCAGCGGCGAAGGCGGUGCUCUGGGCCGGUACUGACGCUGAGGAGCGAAAGCGUGGGUAGCAAACAGGAUUAGAAACCCGUGUAGUCC